UACGGAGGGUGCAAGCGUUAUCCGGAUUCACUGGGUUUAAAGGGUGCGUAGGUGGGUUGGUAAGUCAGUGGUGAAAUCUCCAGGCUUAACUUGGAAACUGCCAUUGAUACUAUCAAUCUUGAAUACCGUGGAGGUCAGCGGAAUAUGUCAUGUAGCGGUGAAAUGCUUAGAUAUGACAUAGAACACCAAUUGCGAAGGCAGCUGGCUACACGAAUAUUGACACUGAUGCACGAAAACGUGGGGAUCAAACAGG
rnacentral:rRNA from 1 species